GGAGGGGAUUUUUAAGCAACAGGCAAGUCGUGCAAUUUAUUUUAAUAAAAACAAAGGUUUAUAAGCUUUGAAAUUGUUUAAACUAGUGAUUGUUAUAAAGUUAUAGUGUUGUGUAUAAUUUUAUUAAUAUAGCGGAUGAAAAAUUAUAUGAUCUUACUCAAAAAAAAACUUCACUUUUUUUAUUGUCGAUGUAGUAACCGAGUAUAGUUUACGUUCUAAAAUGUAAAAUUAUGGGAAAAGACUAAUGGGAUUACACUUUGUUCUGUUUCUUCGCAUUACACUUGCGAUCCAUAUAAUGCAAGAAGAAUUGGAAAAUGUUUAACGAUACAUGGUACGAAACAAGUUAGUAACCCAGUUAGUAUUUAUGUAAACGUAAAGGUAUGUAUUUAAUUAUUUAUGAAUGCAAUAACAGAAAAUACAACAGUUAUUGCAACUGUGCACGAUUG
rnacentral:lncRNA from 1 species